rnacentral:lncRNA from 1 species
GAUACACUUAUCUGGGUUAUAGCUUCACUGUGGCUGCUGUCAUUUGAGAAUAUCUUGGUAAGGUUAACCUGCUUGUUCAACCUUAAAACAAAGUUUUAUUCACCUGAGGCCACACGCUAGCCUAGUUUAGCUUAAGUCAGACCCAUUCCAAUCCCAGACCUGGUCUGGUUUCUAAGUCAGAACUAGUCUGACCCCAGACUCAGCCUAGUUUCUAAAUCAAAACCAGUCUGACCCUGGACCCCGUCCAGUUUUUAAGUCGGAACCAGUCUGACCCUGGACCCAGUCCUACUCUGGCAAGUUUCUGGACCCAGUCUGGCAAAAGAAUCCUCAAAUAAAGUCUUAAAGCUCGUCAUGAAAGACUAUAGAGCUAAGAACCGACAGGGACUUAACCAUGACCUCCAGAAGCAGCAAGAAAGCAGCCAGAUCACGGGACUCAGCAGGUGAGGGUGUAAUGAGAAGGUGGCUGCUACAACCAGGAAGAGGGUCCUCACCACAACCCGACCAUGGUGGUAUCCUGAUCUCAGACUUCCAGUCUCCAAAACGAGUGAUGGCCCUGCUAUACAGACCUGUUGUAAGAAAAUGCACUAUGAAAUAUUGAAUCUCCAUUUUAUUUACAGAUUUCCUGCUGAAUCUCUCUGUGGGGGCCAGAGUGAACGUUUUCCACACAGAGAAAGCGGGUGUGCCAGUCGUUAAUGUGUUAUCUCUCAGCUUCGAAAUAACCUUGCGUUGCCCUGCUUGGUGAUGCUGGAGCUGGGCCCUGUAGACAUUUCUCCUUCGCCAGCUGGCUGGCUGUUAGGCUUUGGGAACAGAGGGUGCUGGAGCACCACUUCAGGGCCAAACAGGAGGAAGGCAUUUCCCUUCCUGUUCCUAGCCCUGGCACCAGCAGGUCAAAGUGGAGAGGGCCUGGAAGUGCUCACCUCAGCAUCCUGCCUGGACCUGCUCCGCUAGCCUGCAAGUUUCCCACUACCCAGGGCCAUUGCUGUGGAUCAGCCCCCAUCUGCAAUCUCUGUCCAGGUUUUCCAGAAAGCAGACCUGAGGCAAGACUCCUGUGCUCGACUUUGUCAGUGAGUGCGACCACAGGAGCCAGAGAAAAGGACAGAGAGAGUCCAGCGGGGAAGGAGAGGAACCGGGGGCAAAGACGCCUUAGCGAGCUGGCUGCCUCCAAGUGUGACUGAGGCUCAGCCCCGCCAAACCGCCCAGACGUGCCUCACGCUCUCCCCUGGCUCCAGGGGAAAUUUCUCCUGUUGGUCAGAGAGAUGAUGAAAAAGAAUGCAGAAGAGAUGAGAUGUGAGAAGGACUUCACCACCAUUGCCGGCUUUGAAGAUGAAGGGGUCCAUGAGCCAAAGAAUGUGGGAUGGCCUCUAGAAGCUGAGAACAACAUGAGGCCAACAGCCAGCAAGGAGACUUCAGCUGGAGACUUCAGCACUACAACUGCAUGGAACUAAGUUCUGCCAACAACCUGCAUGCAGCAGGGAGCAUCCGCUCCCCCAGGGCCGUCAGUAAGGAAAGCUGUCCUGGCACCUUGGUUCUAGCCUGGUAAGACCCGUAUGUACUUCUGACCUAUAAAACUGUAAGAUGAUAAAUUUGUGUUGUUUUAAGCUGUUAAAUUUGUGGUCAUGUGUUAUGACAGCAAUAGAAAACUAAUACAAAAGUAUGUGUGCUUUCCAGUUGUGUGCAGUGUUUUAUAUUUAUCCAUUAGAUGAAGUUUGUUAAUUAUGUUUAGAUCAACUGUAUCCUUACUCAUUAUCUGUCUUAUGAAUAAUUGUGAAAGAUAAAGGUGGAUUUUUUUCAGUUUCUCUUUAUAGAUCUGUUAAUUUUUGCUUUAUGUGUUUUGAAGCCAUGUUAAGUAUUAGUCAUUAAGAAUUGUUAUAGUGAUAAUUGUCAUAUUUGUAACCCACUCUGAAAAUCUUUGUCAUUUAAAAGCGUAGUUUAGUUUGUUAAAUUCAUUGAAGUUAGUGAGACAUUUGGAUUCCUCUAUGCUCCCUUAGUUUGUGGUUUUCAUUUGUCCUUCCUGUUCUACUUCUCUUUUUUCUCCUUUCUUGCCUUUUUUUAGGUUUGAUCAUAUUUCUCUUUCCCUCAUUCUCUUUUUACUCUCUCCAAAGUCGUGAGUUUUAUACUCUAUUGCUAUACUUUUACUGACUACCUUAAACAUUUUAAUAUAAGUAAUUAAUGUUUUUAAAUACAAAGUUAAUAUUUCUUCUUAAAACAAUAAAAGGAACUUAGACCAUUUUAAUUCUGAUCACCCCAUGCUAACUUCUUUGCUAUUUUCUUUCAAUAUUUUAGUUAUAUCUCAUUUUCAUCAAUCCCACAAAUUAGACAAUUAUUGUUUUAUAAAGUGAAUUUUCACUUAGUUCUACAUACAUAUUUAUCAAGUUCUGUGCUUAUGUUUUAUCCUUGAAUAUUAAAUUUUCAUUUGGGAUCAUUUUUCUUCUGCCUGAAGAAUAUCACUUAGAAUUUCCUUUCAUGUUGGUAUUUUGACAGAAAACUCUGUUUUU